rnacentral:rRNA from 1 species
UGAGGAAUAUUGGACAAUGGGCGCAAGCCUGAUCCAGCCAUGCCGCGUGCAGGAUGACGGUCCUAUGGAUUGUAAACUGCUUUUGUACAGGAAGAAACACUGGUUCGUGAACCAGCUUGACGGUACUGUAAGAAUAAGGAUCGGCUAACUCCGUGCCAGCAGCCGCGGUAAUACGGAGGAUCCAAGCGUUAUCCGGAAUCAUUGGGUUUAAAGGGUCCGUAGGCGGUUUAAUAAGUCAGUGGUGAAAGCCCAUCGCUCAACGGUGGAACGGCCAUUGAUACUGUUAGACUUGAAUUAUUAGGAAGUAACUAGAAUAUGUAGUGUAGCGGUGAAAUGCUUAGAGAUUACAUGGAAUACCAAUUGCGAAGGCAGGUUACUACUAAUGGAUUGACGCUGAUGGACGAAAGCGUGGGUAGCGAACAG